AAAAUAGGCAAGUUUCCUUCUCUUGUUAACAAUCUAGUAUAGAGAAAUAGACAAUAAGUAAUUAAACUAUUCAUAGUAGUCACAGUAGCGACAGGGAGAUCAAUCCCAAGUGAAGUGUAAGCCAUCGGGGUAUCUUAUGGCAUCCAGUUCAAUCACAAUAUUCCCUUUUUCAUUUUCAGAGCACAGAUUUUAUGCUCCUGGGACGGAGCCAAGGAAAGUGCUGGUUCAGCACACUCAAUUCCAAAGGAGCAUCUCAUUUUAUUGUCUCUCCCUCUAAUUUCAGAGAACAAUGGGGUUAGCCACGAGUCUAUAGUGUGACUCAGAUUGUUCAGUUAUUUUCAAAUCAACAACACCCUUGAAUUAGUUUCCCUUUCCACUUUCCUGGUAACAUGCCAUCCCACUUCUCUCUGAUGCACUCAAAAACAUCUUAAUAGCUCCAUGUGACCACCUGAACCAACAGAUAUCCCUUCAAAUUGAGCAGUCCUGGGAGACAUUGAUCAUUGUUGGCUGUGGCAUGUAGUUUUAGGGCAAAAGCUUAUGUGACACAAACUCAUUGUUGGGCUUUGCUGGAGAGAGAGAGAUGUUCUUCCUUUGUAGUCUGAGCAAUAGCCUCAAAUGGGACCAUUUCAAAUACACUACACGUGCAUUUGAAUGAAAGCAUUGAAAUGUCGUUAUCUAAAAAUCUAACGAAACAUUUGGCUCUAUCUGAAAGAAGCACAAGUUAAUUGCUUAUCAAACUAUCAACUUUUAUUUCACAAAAUGACUGAUAUCUCUGUGAGUCUGUGAGGAGAAAGCACUACACUUUAUUUCAAGGGCAAGAGUGAGCAUGGAUAUAGACAGAAUCCACUCUAUCAAUAAUCCAUCACUAAUUUUCUCAGGUAAAGCAGUCAUAUUGUUUACAUGCAAAAUACUUUCAUUGUGGGGGUAAAUGACCUCCUUCGCUUGCAAAAUCUGCUCUUUGUUUCCACAAAAAACACAGACUUAUUCAUGGUUUUAAAAAAAAU
rnacentral:lncRNA from 1 species